GUUGAAGUUUAUUAAAAGAUGAGAACAUUCACAUAAUUAAGACUUGAGAGCAAAACAAUAUAAUGGUUUGAAUAACACAGGAUCGAGCAACCUUUGUCACGCAUGUAACAUGUUAUUAUUAAAAAUGAACAAAAAAAAUGAUCUAUUAAAAAUUUAAACAUAACAGACAGCAAGAAUAAUAUGGAAGGGUUAAUAUAUUUGAUAAUCAUGUUAGGAGUGUAAAUAUUCAUUGAUGUAACUAAAGAAUUAUUAAAGAGAAACAGUUCGCCUGUAAAGUACUUCAUCAUCACUCUCAUCUUCCUCAUCUGACACAACCUCAAAGCCUGGUAGUUCUAACUUCCCACCCAUACAGAAUGAUGGACCCUGAUUUUCUGAAUCAAUAUAAUCACCUUGCAAUCUUUCCUCGAAUCUCUGGUCACUACAGUUGAGGAACCAAUUCAUUGAACACCUGAGCCCCUUGCUUUGCAGCCUCUGGUAUCUUGGCUUGAUUCUGGAUUCCAGGCUAUAUGUAAAAUAUUCAGGAAAAUCCACAAGUUCAUUCAAAGGCCUCCCCAUUUCACUCUUGAAAAAGUAAUAGCUGUUCUUCAUGAGUGGUACUCGCAAUGCAACUAACUGCGGACAUUUUACAACCAUCUUUGCUACAUCCUCAGAUGGGAUUCCUCGCCCCAAAAGAAACUGUACUGGUUUCAUAAUCACAUGUUGGUUAAGGCUAGCAAUCUGUGGCAUCUUUUCUAUCACUUGUGCAAACCCAUCAGGAUCAAUCUUGAGCUUCAAGUUGAAGAAAUACUGCUGUGAAGAUAGCUUAGCCUUUAAAGGCAACCCAAGAAUCUGUGGAUACUGUGCUAUAACUGAAGGUAGUGAUUCCCUUCUUAUGCCAAAACUAAUUAAACAAUCCGCAUUUGGCUUAACAGUCUCUUCAAGAUCAUAUCCAAGAACAUAAGUCCGCUUCUCCAGCAUCCUAGCCACUAUUUUCUUCGGCAAACCCAAAGCAACCAAAUAAUCAACAAGUGGCUUAAUUGUAGUCCCUACUCUCAUCCCUAGAAAGUAUGGAAAUUGUGUCACCAUUGGUCCAAUAUCUCUAGGAUUAACGCCAAUGCUUACAAGAUAAGCCACAGAAGUACUCAUUGUUCCUUCAAGCUUAAAGCCAAGAAGCUCAGGAUAUUUUUGCAGAACAUACCCAAUAUCCUGUUUCUCCACAUCUAGCCCACGAAGAAAUUUAACAACUGGCAUAAGCUCAACAACAACACUUGCAUGCAACACUUGUGGAUAGUUCUUAACAAACUCCCCUAGUUUAGACCUACUAAUGCCAAUCUUUUCCAAGUACCCAAACACAGGUAUCAUGUUUUUCCGCACACUGCAUCCUAGGAUUAAAGGGUACUCAUUAAAAUCAUCAAUGGUUAAUCCCAACUUCUGCAAGAACUCAACACGCUCCUUCAUCACCUCAACUGUUGACGGCAGUUCUAGGUUUUCCAAUUCAUCAGGAAUUAUCCCCAAAGACUUAAGGUAAUCACAUAUUAUAACACGAUUAACCAGCUUCUCUCUCUUGCCUUGGACCACACCCCAAGUGACCGAAGGCAUCUCAUACUCGGGGAACUUAGAGGACUGUGUUGAAAAUGAAAAACCAAAUGGUAAAACCCUAAAAGAGCCAUCAAAUUGAGGGUUUUGGGGACAUGGGUCUAUUGGGGUUUUGAUUAACAACGAUACUGAAGAGGGUUUUGCACAAAAUUGUUGUGGAGCAAUAGCAUUGUUGAAUAAGAUUAAAAAUUUUCUUCUUCUAAGCAAGUACAAGCUCAUGUUAUUUAAAAUGGAAUCCAAACUAAAGAUGUAUAAAGCGAGGAGAAAACUGAGUUGAAUUUAAUGAAAGCAAGAAUCUGGUGCUGCUUCUUUUGAAGAUACUUGUAUUCAACUGAAACAGAACAAGAGGAUUACCUCAUUUUUGCAGUGUGAUAAGCCGAACAAAUCGCCAGAGGUGUGAAGUGAGAAUUCGCCGGCGGCCGAUACAUUUAAGAGCGAAGUUUUGG
rnacentral:misc_RNA from 1 species